CUAAGUUCCUUGGAACAGGACGUCAUAGAGGGUGAGAAUCCCGUCUUGGGCCGUUGGUCCACGCCCGUGUGAAGCUCCUUCGACGAGUCGAGUUGUUUGGGAAUGCAGCUCUAAGCGGGUGGUAAAUUUCAUCUAAAGCUAAAUAUUGGCCGGAGACCGAUAGCGCACAAGUAGAGUGAUCGAAAGGUUAAAAGCACCUUGAAAAGGGAGUUAAACAGCACGUGAAAUUGUUGAAAGGGAAGCGCUUGCGGCCAGACUCGGGCGCGGGGUUCAGCGGGUGCGCGUCACCCGUGCACUCCCCGCCGCCCGGGCCAGCAUCAGUUCUGACGACCGGUCAAAGGCCCCCGGAAUGUGUCGUCUCUCGGGACGUCUUAUAGCCGGGGGUGCAAUGCGGCCCGUCGGGACUGAGGAACGCGCUUCGGCUCGGAUGCUGGCGUAAUGGCCGUAAGCGUCCCGUCUUGAAAAA
rnacentral:rRNA from 1 species